CUAACUGGAGGACCGAACCGACUAAUGUUGAAAAAUUAGCGGAUGACUUGUGGCUGGGGGUGAAAGGCCAAUCAAACCGGGAGAUAGCUGGUUCUCCCCGAAAGCUAUUUAGGUAGCGCCUCGUGAAUUCAUCUUCGGGGGUAGAGCACUGUUUCGGCUAGGGGGUCAUCCCGACUUACCAACCCGAUGCAAACUACGAAUACCGAAGAAUGUUAUCACGGGAGACACACGGCGGGUGCUAACGUCCGUCGUGAAGAGGGAAACAACCCAGACCGCCAGCUAAGGUCCCAAAGUCAUGGUUAAGUGGGAAACGAUGUGGGAAGGCACAGACAGCCAGGAUGUUGGCUUAGAAGCAGCCAUCAUUUAAAGAAAGCGUAAUAGCUCACUGGUCGAGUCGGCCUGCGCGGAAGAUGUAACGGGGCUAAACCAUGCACCGAAGCUGCGGCAGCGACACUAUGUGUUGUUGGGUAGGGGAGCGUUCUGUAAGCCUGCGAAGGUGUGCUGUGAGGCAUGCUGGAGGUAUCAGAAGUGCGAAUGCUGACAUAAGUAACGAUAAAGCGGGUGAAAAGCCCGCUCGCCGGAAGACCAAGGGUUCCUGUCCAACGUUAAUCGGGGCAGGGUGAGUCGACCCCUAAGGCGAGGCCGAAAGGCGUAGUCGAUGGGAAACAGGUUAAUAUUCCUGUACUUGGUGUUACUGCGAAGGGGGGACGGAGAAGGCUAUGUUAGCCGGGCGACGGUUGUCCCGGUUUAAGCAUGUAGGCUGAUUAUCCAGGCAAAUCCGGAUAAUCAAGGCUGAGGUGUGAUGACGAGGCACUACGGUGCUGAAGUAACAAAUGCCCUGCUUCCAGGAAAAGCCUCUAAGCAUCAGGUAACAUCAAAUCGUACCCCAAACCG
rnacentral:rRNA from 1 species